rnacentral:rRNA from 1 species
GAUGAACGCUGGCGGCGUGCUUAACAUAUGCAAGUCGAACGGAAAGGCUCCUGCUUGCAGGGGUACUCGAGUGGCGAACGGGUGAGUAACACGUGGGUGAUCUGCCCUGCACUUCGGGAUAAGCCUGGGAAACUGGGUCUAAUACCGGAUAGGACGAUGGUUUGGAUGCCAUUGUGGAAAGUUUUUCGGUGUGGGAUGAGCUCGCGGCCUAUCAGCUUGUUGGUGGGGUAAUGGCCUACCAAGGCGUCGACGGGUAGCCGGCCUGAGAGGGUGUACGGCCACAUUGGGACUGAGAUACGGCCCAGACUCCUACGGGAGGCAGCAGUGGGGAAUAUUGCACAAUGGGCGCAAGCCUGAUGCAGCGACGCCGCGUGGGGGAUGACGGCCUUCGGGUUGUAAACUCCUUUCGCUAGGGACGAAGCGCAAGUGACGGUACCUGGAGAAGAAGCACCGGCUAACUACGUG